rnacentral:snRNA from 1 species
AGAUCACUUGAGCCCAGGAGAUUGAGGCUGUAGUGAGCCAAGAUCACAUCACUGCACUCCAAUCUGGGUGACAAAG